rnacentral:misc_RNA from 1 species
GAUGAAGAACGCAGCGAAAUGCGAUAAGUAAUGCGAAUUGCAGAAUUCCAGUGAGUCAUCGAAUCUUUGAACGCACAUUGCGCCCUUUGGUAUUCCGAAGGGCAUGCCUGUUCGAGCGUCAUUAUCACCCCUCAAGCCCUCGGCUUGGUGUUGGACGGUUUGGUGGAGGCCCCCUCGGGGGCUCCUGCCCCUCCCAAAGACAAUGACGGCGGCCUCGUUGGACCCCCGGUACACUGAGUUCUUCACGGGACACGUAUCGGACACAUGGGUUUACGGGACACGGUCUGCCUCCCCUCAGGGAGAAUCUUUCUAAGGUUGACCUCGGAUCAGGUAGGGAUACCCGCUGAACUUAAGCAUAUCAAUAAGCGGAGG